rnacentral:rRNA from 1 species
UUAGAGUUUGAUCCUGGCUCAGAACGAACGCUGGCGGCGUGCCUAACACAUGCAAGUCGAACGAGAAAGUUCCUUCGGGGACGAGUACAGUGGCGCACGGGUGAGUAACGCGUGAGUAAUCUGCCCUCAAGUCCGGGAUAACCCGCCGAAAGGUGAGCUAAUACCAAUACCGGAUAAGACCACGAAUCAUAAGGUUAGUGGUAAAAGGUGGCCUCUAUUUAUAAGCUAUUGUUUGGGGAUGAGCUCGCGGACCAUUAGCCAGUUGGUGGGGUAACGGCCUACCAAAGCUACGAUGGUUAGCUGGUCUGAGAGGAUGAUCAGCCACACUGGCACUGAGACACGGGCCAGACUCCUACGGGAGGCAGCAGUGGGGAAUAUUGCGCAAUGGGGGAAACCCUGACGCAGCAACGCCGCGUGGAGGAUGAAGGCUUUCGGGUUGUAAACUCCUGUCAAGUGGGAAGAAAUGUCUGUUGGCUAAUACCUAUAGGCGUUGACGGUACCUACAAAGGAAGCACCGGCUAACUCCGUGCCAGCAGCCGCGGUAAUACGGGGGGUGCAAGCGUUAUUCGGAAUUAUUGGGCGUAAAGCGAGUGCAGGCGGUAUUAUAAGUCAGAUGUGAAAGCCCAGGGCUCAACCCUGGAAGUGCAUUUGAAACUGUAAUACUUGAGUAUGGGAGAGGAAAGUGGAAUUCCUGGUGUAGAGGUGAAAUUCGUAGAUAUCAGGAGGAACACCAGUGGCGAAGGCGACUUUCUGGACCAAUACUGACGCUCAGACUCGAAGGCGUGGGGAGCGAACAGGAUUAGAUACCCUGGUAGUCCACGCAGUAAACGUUGACAACUAGGUGUCGCGGGUAUUGACCCCUGCGGUGCCGGAGCUAACGCAUUAAGUUGUCCGCCUGGGGAGUACGAUCGCAAGAUUAAAACUCAAAGGAAUUGACGGGGGCCCGCACAAGCGGUGGAGCAUGUGGUUUAAUUCGACGCAACGCGAAGAACCUUACCUGGAUUUGACAUCCUGGGAAUAUUUUCGAAAGAUUUUAGUGCCCCUUCGGGGAGUCCAGAGACAGGUGCUGCAUGGCUGUCGUCAGCUCGUGUCGUGAGAUGUUGGGUUAAGUCCCGCAACGAGCGCAACCCCUAUCUUUAGUUACCAUCAUUCAGUUGGGGACUCUAGAGAUACUGCCCCGGUUAACGGGGAGGAAGGUGGGGAUGACGUCAAGUCCUCAUGGCCCUUAUAUCCAGGGCUACACACGUGCUACAAUGGUAUGUACAAAGAGAAGCGACCUCGCGAGAGCAAGCCAAUCUCAAAAAGCAUAUCUCAGUUCGGAUUGGAGUCUGCAACUCGACUCCAUGAAGUUGGAAUCGCUAGUAAUCGUGGAUCAGCAUGCCACGGUGAAUACGUUCCCGGGCCUUGUACACACCGACAGCAAACACCAUGAGAGUUGAUUGUACCAGAAGUUGUUGGGCCAACCCGUUAGGGAGGCAGGCACCUAAGGUAUGGUUGAUAAUUAGGGUGAAGUCGUAACAAGGUA